UGGGGAAUUUUGGACAAUGGGCGCAUGCCUGAUCCAGCAAUGCCGCGUGCAGGAUGAAGGCCUUCGGGUUGUAAACUGCUUUUGUACGGAACGAAAAAGCUCUCUCUAAUACAGGGGGUGAAUGACGGUACCGUAAGAAUAAGCACCGGCUAACUACGUGCCAGCAGCCGCGGUAAUACGUAGGGUGCAAGCGUUAAUCGGAAUUACUGGGCGUAAAGCGUGCGCAGGCGGUUUUGUAAGACAGAGGUGAAAUCCCCGGGCUCAACCUGGGAACUGCCUUUGUGACUGCAAAGCUGGAGUGCGGCAGAGGGGGAUGGAAUUCCGCGUGUAGCAGUGAAAUGCGUAGAUAUGCGGAGGAACACCGAUGGCGAAGGCAAUCCCCUGGGCCUGCACUGACGCUCAUGCACGAAAGCGUGGGGAGCAAACA
rnacentral:rRNA from 1 species